UACAGAGGGUGCGAGCGUUGUCCGGAAUCACUGGGCGUAAAGGGCGCGUAGGUGGUGGCUUAAGCGUGCGGUGAAAGCUCGGGGCUCAACCCCGAGUCGGCCGUGCGAACUGGGCUCACUGGAGCAUAGUAGAGGCAGGUGGAAUUCCGGGUGUAGCGGUGGAAUGCGUAGAGAUCCGGAAGAACACCGGUGGCGAAGGCGGCCUGCUGGGCUAUGGCUGACACUGAGGCGCGACAGCGUGGGGAGUCAAACAGG
rnacentral:rRNA from 1 species